UACGGAGGGGGCUAGCGUUAUUCGGAAUUAUUGGGCGUAAAGAGCUCGUAGGCGGCUUGUCACGUCGGGUGUGAAAGCCCGGGGCUUAACCCCGGGUCUGCAUUCGAUACGGGCAGGCUAGAGUGUGGUAGGGGAGAUCGGAAUUCCUGGUGUAGCGGUGAAAUGCGCAGAUAUCAGGAGGAACACCGGUGGCGAAGGCGGAUCUCUGGGCCAUUACUGACGCUGAGGAGCGAAAGCGUGGGGAGCGAACAGG
rnacentral:rRNA from 1 species